rnacentral:rRNA from 1 species
AGCGACUUAUAUUCUGUAGCAAGGUUAACCGAAUAGGGGAGCCGGAGGGAAACCGAGUCUUAAUUGGGCGUUAAGUUGCAGGGUAUAGACCCGAAACCCGGUGAUCUAGCCAUGGGCAGGUUGAAGGUUGGGUAACACUAACUGGAGGACCGAACCGACUAAUGUUGAAAAAUUAGCGGAUGACCUGUGGCUGGGGGUGAAAGGCCAAUCAAACCGGGAGAUAGCUGGUUCUCCCCGAAAGCUAUUUAGGUAGCGCCUCGUGAAUUCAUCUCCGGGGGUAGAGCACUGUUUCGGCUAGGGGGCCAUCCCGGCUUACCAACCCGAUGCAAACUGCGAAUACCGGAGAAUGUUAUCACGGGAGACACACGGCGGGUGCUAACGUCCGUCGUGAAGAGGGAAACAACCCAGACCGCCAGCUAAGGUCCCAAAGUCAUGGUUAAGUGGGAAACGAUGUGGGAAGGCCCAGACAGCCAGGAUGUUGGCUUAGAAGCAGCCAUCAUUUAAAGAAAGCGUAAUAGCUCACUGGUCGAGUCGGCCUGCGCGGAAGAUGUAACGGGGCUAAACCAUGCACCGAAGCUGCGGCAGCGAACGUAUCACCCAAGACAACUUUACGGAGUUGACGAUUGACGGAGCGAAGCGACGUCAAAGCGUUCAUUAAAGUCGAGUUGGCUUAGGGAUACGUUCGUUGGGUAGGGGAGCGUUCUGUAAGCCUGUGAAGGUGUGUCGUGAGGCAUGCUGGAGGUAUCAGAAGUGCGAAUGCUGACAUAAGUAACGAUAAAGCGGGUGAAAAGCCCGCUCGCCGGAAGACCAAGGGUUCCUGUCCAACGUUAAUCGGGGCAGGGUGAGUCGACCCCUAAGGCGAGGCCGAAAGGCGUAGUCGAUGGGAAACGGGUUAAUAUUCCCGUACUUGGUGUUACUGCGAAGGGGGGACGGAGAAGGCUAUGUUGGCCGGGCGACGGUUGUCCCGGUUUAAGCGUGUAGGUGUGUGUUCCAGGUAAAUCCGGUUCACUUUAACACUGAGGCGUGACGACGAGGCACUACGGUGCUGAAGCAACAAAUGCCCUGCUUCCAGGAAAAGCCUCUAAGCAUCAGGUAACACGAAAUCGUACCCCAAACCGACACAGGUGGUCAGGUAGAGAAUACCAAGGCGCUUGAGAGAACUCGGGUGAAGGAACUAGGCAAAAUGGUGCCGUAACUUCGGGAGAAGGCACGCUGACACGUAGGUGAAGUGAUUUACUCAUGGAGCUGAAGUCAGUCGAAGAUACCAGCUGGCUGCAACUGUUUAUUAAAAACACAGCACUGUGCAAACACGAAAGUGGACGUAUACGGUGUGACGCCUGCCCGGUGCCGGAAGGUUAAUUGAUGGGGUCAGCGUAAGCGAAGCUCCUGAUCGAAGCCCCGGUAAACGGCGGCCGUAACUAUAACGGUCCUAAGGUAGCGAAAUUCCUUGUCGGGUAAGUUCCGACCUGCACGAAUGGCGUAAUGAUGGCCAGGCUGUCUCCACCCGAGACUCAGUGAAAUUGAACUCGCUGUGAAGAUGCAGUGUACCCGCGGCAAGACGGAAAGACCCCGUGAACCUUUACUAUAGCUUGACACUGAACAUUGAGCCUUGAUGUGUAGGAUAGGUGGGAGGCUUUGAAGUGUGGACGCCAGUCUGCAUGGAGCCGACCUUGAAAUACCACCCUUUAAUGUUUGAUGUUCUAACGUGGACCCGUAAUCCGGGUUGCGGACAGUGUCUGGUGGGUAGUUUGACUGGGGCGGUCUCCUCCUAAAGAGUAACGGAGGAGCACGAAGGUUGGCUAAUCCUGGUCGGACAUCAGGAGGUUAGUGCAAUGGCAUAAGCCAGCUUGACUGCGAGCGUGACGGCGCGAGCAGGUGCGAAAGCAGGUCAUAGUGAUCCGGUGGUUCUGAAUGGAAGGGCCAUCGCUCAACGGAUAAAAGGUACUCCGGGGAUAACAGGCUGAUACCGCCCAAGAGUUCAUAUCGACGGCGGUGUUUGGCACCUCGAUGUCGGCUCAUCACAUCCUGGGGCUGAAGUAGGUCCCAAGGGUAUGGCUGUUCGCCAUUUAAAGUGGUACGCGAGCUGGGUUUAGAACGUCGUGAGACAGUUCGGUCCCUAUCUGCCGUGGGCGCUGGAGAACUGAGGGGGGCUGCUCCUAGUACGAGAGGACCGGAGUGGACGCAUCACUGGUGUUCGGGUUGUCAUGCCAAUGGCACUGCCCGGUAGCUAAAUGCGGAAGAGAUAAGUGCUGAAAGCAUCUAAGCACGAAACUUGCCCCGAGAUGAGUUCUCCCUGAGACUUAGAGUCUCCUGAAGGAACGUUGAAGACGACGACGUUGAUAGGCCGGGUGUGUAAGCGCAGCGAUGCGUUGAGCUAACCGGUACUAAUGAACCGUGAGGCUUAACCUUACA